UACAGGGGGUGCAAGCGUUGCUCGGAAUCACUGGGCGUAAAGCGUACGCAGGCGGACCGUUAAGUCGGGUGUGAAAGCCCGGGGCUCAACCCCGGAACUGCAUUCGAUACUGGCGGUCUUGAAUCCGGGAGAGGGAUGCGGAAUUCCAGGUGUAGCGGUGAAAUGCGUAGAUAUCAGGAGGAACACCUGCGGUGUAGACGGCUUACUGGACCAUAACUGACGCUGAGGCACGAAAGCGUGGGUAGCAAACAGG
rnacentral:rRNA from 1 species